rnacentral:rRNA from 1 species
GAUGAACGCUGGCGGCGUGCUUAACACAUGCCAGUCGAACGAAGCACUUUAUUUGAUUUCCUUCGGGACUGAUUAUUUUGUGACUGAGUGGUGGACGGGUGAGUAACGCGUGGGUAACCUGCCUUGUACAGGGGGAUAACAGUUGGAAACGGCUGCUAAUACCGCAUAAGCGCACGGCAUCGCAUGAUGCCGUGUGAAAAACUCCGGUGGUAUAAGAUGGACCCGCGUUGGAUUAGCUAGUUGGUGAGGUAACGGCCCACCAAGGCGACGAUCCAUAGCCGACCAGAGAGGGUGACCGGCCACAUUGGGACUGAGACACGGCCCAAGCUCCUACGGGAGGCAGCAGUGGGGAAUAUUGCACAAUGGGCGAAAGCCGGAUGCAGCGACGCCGCGUGAGCGAAGAAGUAUUUCGGUAUGUAAAGCUCUAUCAGCAGGGAAGAUAAUGACGGUACCUGACUAAGAAGCACCGGCUAAAUACGUG